GUUAGUUGUCCAUCAUUCAGUUGGGCACUCUAGCGAGACUGCCGGUAAUAAACCGGGAGGAAGGUGGGGAUGACGUCAAAUCAUCAUGCCCCUUAUGACCUGGGCUACACACGUGCUACAAUGGUUGGUACAACGAGUUGCGAGUCGGUGACGGCGAGCUAAUCUCUUAAAGCCAAUCUCAGUUCGGAUUGUAGGCUGCAACUCGCCUACAUGAAGUCGGAAUCGCUAGUAAUCGCGGAUCAGCACGCCGCGGUGAAUACGUUCCCGGGCCUU
rnacentral:rRNA from 1 species